rnacentral:rRNA from 1 species
UACGUAGGGUGCGAGCGUUAAUCGGAAAUUACUGGGCGUAAAGCGUGCGCAGGCGGUUUGUAAGCCAGAUGUGAAAUCCCCGGGCUUAACCUGGGAAUGGCAUUUGGGACUGCAAGGCUUGAGUGCGGCAGAGGAGACUGGAAUUCCUGGUGUAGCAGUGAAAUGCGUAGAUAUCAGGAGGAAUACCGAUGGCGAAGGCAGGUCUCUGGGCUGACACUGACGCUCAUGCACGAAAGGCGUGGGAGCAAACAGG